rnacentral:tRNA from 1 species
GAGGGUAUAGCUCAGUGGUAGAGUGCGUGCUUAGCACGGACAAGAUCCUGGGUUCAACCCCCGGUACCUCCA